rnacentral:tRNA from 1 species
GCAGAGAUAACCAAGCCCGGUCAACGGUGAUGGACUCAAGAUCCAUUGACAUAGGUCUCCGAGGGUUCAAAUCCCUCUCUCUGCA